GUGUGUCUGUGUGGUGUUCCAGAAGAGAUUAGCAUCAGAAGACUAAAGAAGAUCUGCCCUCACCAAUGCAGAUGAAUCAGUUUCAAAAGCAAGUUUGCCAGCCUAUAUCUUAAUUCAUCUCUGUGGCCAGGGAAGUGGAUUUAUUGAUUUGUUUCAGCUGAUCAACGUCUAUAAUAAGCAAUGUUGAUGGGCUCAAAACCACACAAACUACCAGAGGGGUUGCUUUUCCAAAGAAUCACUUAAGGAUAAAAGAGAAAGAAAGAGAGAAAGACCUUGGAACCCAACUAGUAUCUACCAAAUAGGCAGGGUCUCACUGUGUUGCCCAGGCUAGUCUCCAACUCCUGGCCUCCCAAAGCACUGGGAUUAUAGGGGCAGCUCUUCCCUGG
rnacentral:antisense_RNA from 1 species